AACGAACGCUGGCGGCAGGCUUAACACAUGCAAGUCGAGCGAGGUAGCAAUACCUAGCGGCGGACGGGUGAGUAACGCGUAGAAAUCUGCCCUGAGGUCUGGAAUAACACAUGGAAACGUGUGCUAAUGCCGGAUAUACCCGAGAGUGGAAAGCUUUAGUGCCUUAGGAUGAGUCUGCGUCGGAUUAGCUUGUUGGUGGGGUAAGAGCCCACCAAGGCAACGAUCCGUAGCUGGUCUGAGAGGAUGGCCAGCCACACUGGGACUGAGACACGGCCCAGACUCCUACGGGAGGCAGCAGUGGGGAAUCUUGGACAAUGGGGGAAACCCUGAUCCAGCCAUGCCGCGUGAAUGAAGAAGGCCUUCGGGUUGUAAAGUUCUUUCAGUGGGGAUGAUAAUGACCGUACCCACAGAAGAAGCUCCGGCUAACUCCGUGCCAGCCGCCGCGGUAA
rnacentral:rRNA from 1 species